GCCUUUGUUGCUCAGUGGUUAGAGCACUGGCCUCCAUACCAGUGUUGUGGGUUUGAAUUCCAGUCAAGGGCA
rnacentral:tRNA from 1 species